AGAGUUUGAUCCUGGCUCAGGAUGAACGCUAGCGGCAGGCUUAACACAUGCAAGUCGAGGGGUAGCAGGUUUAAAUUUCGGUCUAAAUGCUGACGACCGGCGCACGGGUGCGUAACGCGUAUACAAUCUACCUUAUACUGAGGAUAGCCCUAAGAAAUUGGGAUUAAUACUCCAUAAUAUUAUUGGUCCGCAUGGAUUGAUUAUUAAAGCUACGGCGGUAUAAGAUGAGUAUGCGUCUGAUUAGCUAGUUGGCGAGGUAACGGCUCACCAAGGCUACGAUCAGCAGGGGGCCUGAGAGGGUUAUCCCCCACACUGGUACUGAGACACGGACCAGACUCCUACGGGAGGCAGCAGUGAGGAAUAUUGGUCAAUGGGCGCAAGCCUGAACCAGCCAUGCCGCGUGAAGGAAGAAUGUCCUAUGGAUUGUAAACUUCUUUUAUUUGGGAAGAAACCCCUCUACGUGUAGAGGCCUGACAGUACCAAAUGAAUAAGGACCGGCUAACUCCGUGCCAGCAGCCGCGGUAAUACGGAGGGUCCAAGCGUUAUCCGGAAUCAUUGGGUUUAAAGGGUUCGCAGGCGGUUUAUUAAGUCAGUGGUGAAAUCUCGAGGCUCAACCUCGAAACUGCCAUUGAUACUGUU
rnacentral:rRNA from 1 species